UACGUAGGGGGCAAGCGUUGUCCGGAAUUAUUGGGCGUAAAGCGCGCGCAGGCGGUCUUUUAAGUCUGAUGUGAAAGCCCACGGCUUAACCGUGGAGGGUCAUUGGAAACUGAGGGACUUGAGUACAGAAGAGGAGAGUGGAAUUCCACGUGUAGCGGUGAAAUGCGUAGAGAUGUGGAGGAACACCAGUGGCGAAGGCGACUCUCUGGUCUGUAACUGACGCUGAGGUGCGAAAGCGUGGGUAGCAAACAGGAUUAGAUAUCCGU
rnacentral:rRNA from 1 species